rnacentral:lncRNA from 1 species
GGGAAUUUGGGAGGCAUUUCGGGAGGUUUGGGGGAGAUUUGGGGGAAUUUGGGAGGGAUUUGGGGGGUGCUGGGGGGGAUUUGGGGGGCAGGAGAGGGUCUGGGUACAGGUCCUGCAAGCACUGGUACUACUGGUACUGGUGGUACUGUGGCCAUUGGUAUCAAUGCUGGUACUACUGGUAGUACUACUGGUAGUAGUAGCACUGCUACCACUGGUAUCAAUGGUGGUGGUGCUGGUACUGCAAGCACCACAAGCACUGCAAGCACUGAAAGCACUACGAGCACUAUGAGCACUACUAGCGGUUGUAGUGCUGCAAGUACUAUGAGCACUAUGAGCACCGCAAGCACUAUGAGCGCUACUACCAGUGCUAGUACUGCAGGCACUAUGAGCACUAUGAGCACUACUAGUAGUGCUACCACCACAAGUACUAUGAGCACUACAAGCACUGCAAGUACUAUGAGCACUACUACCACUGCUAGUACUGCAAGCACCACGAGCACUACUAGUGGUGCCAGUGCUGCAAGUACUAGGAGCACUACUAGCAGUGCUAGCACCACAAGUACCAGGACCACUACGAGCACUAUGAGCACUGCAAGUAGUGCAAGCACUACUAGCAGUGCCAGUGCUGCAAGUACUAUGAGCGCUAUGAGCACUACUACCGGUGUAAUCACAACUAGCACUGGGAGCACCAUGAGUACUACAAGCACUGCCAGCACUGCAAGCCCUAGUAGCAUUGCAAGCACUGGUCGCACUGGGAGCACUGGGAGUACUCCAAGCACUCCAAGUACUACAACCACUGCAAGCACUACAAGUACUCCUAGCACUCCUAGCACCGCUACCACUGCAACCACUGCAACCACUGGUCACACUGGUCACACUGGUGACACUGGUCACACUGGGAGUACUGGGAGCACUGGGCGCACUGGUGCCGGCCCUGGCGGCGCGGUGCCUCCGUCGGUGUGCGGCGAGGGCGCUGGGCCGGGCGAAGCUGUGCCCGCACUCCACGCAGAUGUUGGGCUCCUCGCCCGGCGCCGGCCGCUGCCGCACCGAGCGCGCCUUGCGCUUGCGGCCCGACGGCGACGUCGCGAUAGUGGCCGGGAAAGUCGCGAUAGUGGG